CACUGCUACUGUCACGUGACACCACCUGUGUGACGUCGCAGCCAGUUUGCAGCGCAGGUGGUAAAUCCCGGAAAACACAAACGACCAACAUGUUAUCUAAAUAAAAGAGUAUUUCUCGACAGUUUUGCAAGAAAAUCUAAUUUCUGUGAUAAAAGGCUGUUCACCAUGUCUUCUGGACCUGAGGGUGUUGGGCUGACCCACUGUAAGUGUGUCUUGGUGUUUGCAGUCUUUAUGGAUCUUCUCGGGGUGUCUGCUAUUCUGAUCGGUGUCUUCAUCCCGCUUGAAGUCGGGGGCCGUGACUUUGGGGAUCUGUUGGUGUAUUCGGGAGCUCUACUGGUGUUGAUGUCUAUGGGGGGUUGGGUCAUGUGGUACAGUGGGAAUAUUGAGGGUUUGAUAUCAGGGAAUGAGCUGACACACAAACGCAACGCCGUGGACCGGUUUGCUCGCACCCUUAGUCGUCGCAUACGGAAACCCCACCGCAUCCACAACACAUCCUGACCUCUGACCUCAAGACAUGGCUGAGAGCACAUACACAGGGCUUAGGAAACCACAAACAAGGCCAAAACCUCAGCUGGAAUCUAAGGAAAAUGGAAUGAUAAAGAACGUUUUGCAAGGAUGAAGGUUGACGCGGAUACAGUAUAUUGUUACAAUGUGGUGUUUGUUACUACUACUAUAAAAAAUGUAUAAAAUUGAAGUUAUGUUAUAGUGUUAAUAGCUGUACUGUAGUGCUUCAUAUAUUUUGACAGUUGUACAUAUGAGCUGAUAUUUUUUACACACAAUUCUGUAUUUCUUUUUGCAGCAAAACAUUUUGUUGUACAAAACAUGGGUGAUUAAAUUUCAAGCACUGACACAUUUUAUUUUAAAAUUUAACGCAACUUUAGUGCUUUAUUUUAAUAAUACUGAAUCACUUUUCAGAUCAAAACUCAAUUUAUAAUUAUAGUGUGAAUGCAUUUUACAAAGUUGCAUAUUUUCAUGACACAUCUUCCAGUUGACAAAACAUUAACGCAACAUUAAAGUCACUCUCUCUCUCACUCAUUAAAUAGGAAGAGCCACACAUUCCCCCAUUCAAAAAAAUACUGCAAAAAUGUCAUACAGAAGACUACAUUCACUUUACAACAAAACAUUUGCAAUAAAACCUCACAAUAAACAAUGCAGAUUGAAGUAUAUGCACUAUAAAUGUAAAUUUCACAACAUGUAGGUAGUUUGUCAAACAUGGUCAGUUUCUUGUCAUUUUGAAAUUAUUUAUCUUUGUGCAAGCUUCCAGUUGAUCUAAUGCACGACAAGCAACCAACUGAUUGUGUUCAAAAAUACUUAAUGUAAUGACCAGCAGCAUAUCAGUUUACAUGCAUCACUCCUCAUGAUUUGAAAACAAGAAAAAAACUAUAUUUAUAAUUUCUGGCCUAGCAUUACAAUCAAAACCUGUCUUUGUUAUGGCAUUUAGGAUAAUUGUGUACAAAAAAAAAAAAAAAAAAAACAUUAACUGGUCAAAUA